UACGGGGGGAGCAAGCGUUGUUCGGAUUUACUGGGCGUAAAGGGCGCGUAGGCGGCCACCGCAAGUCGACUGUGAAAUCUCCGGGCUUAACCCGGAAAGGUCAGCCGAUACUGCGGGGCUAGAGUGCAGAAGGGGCAACUGGAAUUCUCGGUGUAGCGGUGAAAUGCGUAGAUAUCGAGAGGAACACCUGCGGCGAAGGCGGGUUGCUGGGCUGACACUGACGCUGAGGCGCGAAGGCGUGGGGAGCGAACAGG
rnacentral:rRNA from 1 species